rnacentral:rRNA from 1 species
ACGGGGCCCGCACAAGCGGUGGAGCAUGUGGUUUAAUUCGAAGCAACGCGAAGAACCUUACCAGGUCUUGACAUCCCGAUGCUUACUUUCUAGAGAUAGAAGUUACUUCGGUUACAUCGGUGACAGGUGGUGCAUGGUUGUCGUCAGCUCGUGUCGUGAGAUGUUGGGUUAAGUCCCGCAACGAGCGCAACCCUUGUUGUUAGUUGCCAUCAGGUAAAGCUGGGCACUCUAACGAGACUGCCGGUGAUAAACCGGAGGAAGGUGGGGAUGACGUCAAAUCAUCAUGCCCCUUAUGUUCUGGGCUACACACGUACUACAAUGGCUGUUACAGAGGGGAGCGAAACCGCAAGGCAGAGCCAAUCCCAAAAACAGUCUCAGUUCGGAUUGUGGGCUGAAACCCGCCCGCAUGAAGUCGGAAUUGCUAGUAAUGGCAGGUCAUCAUACUGCCGUGAAUACGUUCCCGGGCCUU